rnacentral:rRNA from 1 species
UGUCCGNCAGAAAACUACGAGCGAAAAGCUUAAAACUCAAAGGACUUGGCGGUGCUCUAUAUCAACUUAGAGGAGCCUGUCCUAUAAUCGAUAAUCCACGCUAAACCUCACCAAUACUUGCCAAAACAGCCUAUAUACCGCCGUCGCCAACUUACCUCAUGAGAGAAAAACAGUAAGUAUAAAAGUCUAAAAACUAAAACGUCAGGUCAAGGUGUAGCUUAUAGAUUGGAAGAGAUGGGCUACAUUUUUUAUACUAAAACCACGGCAUGAUCUCAUGAAACUGGGGCCUGAAGAAGGAUUUAACAGUAAAACCAGNAAGAAAAUU